rfam:Daphnia pulex DAPPTscaffold_1_Cont48, whole genome shotgun sequence.
CCGUCCGUGAGUAUUACAUCAGGUACUGGUUGUAUGUGCAUGAUACCAGUACCAUUGUAACACUCUCAACGG